rnacentral:tRNA from 1 species
AUCUUUCUAGUAUAAAAGACAGUACGGGUGGCUUCCAACCACUUAAUCUUGGUUAAAGCCCAAGGGAAGAUA